rnacentral:rRNA from 1 species
AGGCCGAAAGGCGUAGUCGAUGGGAAACAGGUUAAUAUUCCUGUACUUGGUGUUACUGCGAAGGGGGGACGGAGAAGGCUAUGUUAGCCGGGCGACGGUUGUCCCGGUUUAAGCAUGUAGGCUGGUUGUCCAGGCAAAUCCGGAUAAUCAAGGCUGAGGUGUGAUGACGAGGCACUACGGUGCUGAAGUAACAAAUGCCCUGCUUCCAGGAAAAGCCUCUAAGCAUCAGGUAACAUCAAAUCGUACCCCAAACCGACACAGGUGGUCAGGUAGAGAAUACCAAGGCGCUUGAGAGAACUC